UACGUAGGGUGCGAGCGUUACACGUGAAUUACUGGGCGUAAAGCGUGCGCAGGCGGUUCGUUAAGUUCGAUGUGAAAGCCCCGGGCUCAACCUGGGAACUGCAUUGGAAACUGGCGAGCUUGAGUAUGGCAGAGGGGGGUGGAAUUCCGCGGUGUAGCAGUGAAAUGCGUAGAGAUGCGGAGGAACACCGAUGGCGAAGGCAGCCCCUGGGCCAAUACUGACGCUCAGGCACGAAAGCGUGGGGAGCAAACAGG
rnacentral:rRNA from 1 species